AAGUCGUAACAAGGUUUCCGUAGGUGAACCUGCGGAAGGAUCAUUACAGUAUAUUGAAUUCUUAUUCAUAUCAACCCACACUGUGUACCUUUUAUUUGUUGCUUCCAUGGGACAUGGCUCUGCCACGUCGGCCUUUGGGCUGGUGAGUUCCCAUGGAAGGAAACCCAAUACUCUUUUUAUUUUUGACAUCUGUCUGAAUAGUUUUUAUAAACGUUAAAACUUUCAACAACGGAUCUCUUGGUUCUC
rnacentral:misc_RNA from 1 species